rnacentral:rRNA from 1 species
GNCCANCGCUUGNGNCGUGCUUAACACAUGCAAGUCGAACGAUGAAGCCCUUCGGGGUGGAUUAGUGGCGAACGGGUGAGUAACACGUGGGCAAUCUGCCCUUCACUCUGGGACAAGCCCUGGAAACGGGGUCUAAUACCGGAUAAUACUCCUGCCUGCAUGGGCGGGGGUUGAAAGCUCCGGCGGUGAAGGAUGAGCCCGCGGCCUAUCAGCUUGUUGGUGGGGUAAUGGCCCACCAAGGCGACGACGGGUAGCCGGCCUGAGAGGGCGACCGGCCACACUGGGACUGAGACACGGCCCAGACUCCUACGGGAGGCAGCAGUGGGGAAUAUUGCACAAUGGGCGAAAGCCUGAUGCAGCGACGCCGCGUGAGGGAUGACGGCCUUCGGGUUGUAAACCUCUUUCAGCAGGGAAGAAGCGAAAGUGACGGUACCUGCAGAAGAAGCGCCGGCUAACUACGUGCCAGCAGCCGCGGUAAUACGUAGGGCGCAAGCGUUGUCCGGAAUUAUUGGGCGUAAAGAGCUCGUAGGCGGCUUGUCACGUCGGAUGUGAAAGCCCGAGGCUUAACCUCGGGUCUGCAUUCGAUACGGGCUAGCUAGAGUGUGGUAGGGGAGAUCGGAAUUCCUGGUGUAGCGGUGAAAUGCGCAGAUAUCAGGAGGAACACCGGUGGCGAAGGCGGAUCUCUGGGCCAUUACUGACGCUGAGGAGCGAAAGCGUGGGGAGCGAACAGGAUUAGAUACCCUGGUAGUCCACGCCGUAAACGUUGGGAACUAGGUGUUGGCGACAUUCCACGUCGUCGGUGCCGCANCUAACGCAUUAAGUUCCCCGCCUGGGGAGUACNGCCNCANGGNUAAACUCAANGAAUUGACGGGGGCCCNCACAACNGGGGNANNUGGGGNUUNAUUCCACNCANNCNAA